GAUGAACGCUAGCGAUAGGCCUAACACAUGCAAGUCGAGGGGCAUCACAUGAAGUAGCAAUACGGAUGGUGGCGACCGGCGCACGGGUGAGUAACACGUAUGCAACCUGCCUUCAACAAGGGGAUAACCCGUUGAAAGACGGACUAAUACCCUAUAACACAGGGGUCCCGCAUGGGAAUAUUUGUUAAAGGACAACCGGUUGAAGAUGGGCAUGCGUUCCAUUAGCUAGUUGGCGGGGUAACGGCCCACCAAGGCAACGAUGGAUAGGGGAACUGAGAGGUUUAUCCCCCACACUGGUACUGAGACACGGACCAGACUCCUACGGGAGGCAGCAGUGAGGAAUAUUGGUCAAUGGACGCAAGUCUGAACCAGCCACGUCGCGUGAAGGAAGACGGCCCUACGGGUUGUAAACUUCUUUUAUACGGGAAUAAAGUGCCCCACGCGUGGGGUUUUGCAUGUACCGUAUGAAUAAGGAUCGGCUAACUACGUG
rnacentral:rRNA from 1 species